UACGAAGGGGGCUAGCGUUGCUCGGAAUCACUGGGCGUAAAGCGCACGUAGGCGGACUCUUAAGUCGGUGGUGAAAUCCUGGAGCUCAACUCCAGAACUGCCUUCGAUACUGAGAGUCUCGAGUCCGAGAGAGGUGAGUGGAAUUCCUAGUGUAGAGGUGAAAUGCGUAGAUAUUGGGAGGAACACCAGUGGCGAAGGCGGCUCACUGGACCGGAACUGACGCUGAGGCGCGAAAGCGUGGGGAGCAAACAGG
rnacentral:rRNA from 1 species